CCUUGACCAGCCCCUGCUGAUUUGCAUGUGCCCAGAGCACAGCCAGCUGCUUGAAGACUUCUUAAGAGGCUGCUGCUCACACCCUGUGCAGAAAUCAGGCCAAGUCAGCACAUAGCAUGGACAUGAGGGUCCCCACUCAUCUGCUGGGGUUCCUGCUGCUCUGGAUCCAAGGUGCCAGAUGUGACAUCCAGAUGACCCAGUCUCCAUCUUCUCUGUCGCCAUCCAUAGGAGACACUGUCACCAUCUCCUGUCGGGCGAGUCAGGGCAUAAGCAAAUAUUUAAAUUGGUAUCAACAGAAACCAGGGAAAGCUCCUAAACUUCUGAUCUAUUAUGCAUCUAGCUUAGCAUCUGGGGUCCCACAGAGGUUCAGUGGCAGUGGAUCUGGGACAGAUUUCACUCUCACAAUCAACAGUGUCGAGGCUGAAGAUGCAGGAACAUAUUACUGUCAACAGUAUAAUAGCUACCCUCCCACAGUGAUACAAGCCAUAACAUAA